GGGGAUCAGCUCAGUGGUAGAGCAUUCGACUGCACAUCGGGAGGUUCCGGUUCGAACCCGGGGACCCUCU